rnacentral:rRNA from 1 species
GACAGAGGGUGCAAACGUUGUUCGGAAUUACUGGGCGUAAAGCGCGUGUAGGCGGCCCUGCAAGUCGGGUGUGAAAUCCCACGGCUCAACCGUGGAAGUGCACUCGAAACUGCAGGGCUAGAGUCCUGGAGAGGAAGGUGGAAUGCUUGGUGUAGAGGUGAAAUUCGUAGAUAUCAAGCGGAACACCGGUGGCGAAGGCAAUCCCCUGGGCCUGCACUGACGCUCAUGCACGAAAGCGUGGGGAGCAAACAGG